rnacentral:lncRNA from 1 species
GAGGCACUUGACCCCGUACCGACGCAUGUACCUCCACCCCUGGUUUGAGCCAUAUGCUGCAUCUGGUGCCUUAUAUCCAUAUUCUCAGUGUAUAUUUGGUCUAGAGUUAUUCAUCUGGGUAUAUCUAUGAAUAAUGAUGUAAAACAGAGGAUAAAGUGGAGUGAUAACAGAGGAUAAAGUGGAGUUAUUCCAGCAACCUGGAUUCGUUCUGAUACCACUUUGAUGCAUGUAGCGGAUGCAAACAAAGUGGAGUGAUAACAGAUUGUAACUUGACAGCUUUGGGACAAGCUUAAUGCGUGUUUAGUCUUCAAAGCUCAUGAGAACAAUCUGAACAAGAUUAGAAUAAGCCUUGACAGUGUAACCAGAUAGAUAGGAUGAUCGAGAUCACCACACUUUGAUAAAGUUGACAUCACAAAGUGAUAAAGAAACUUGUUGAGCUAAUACCAUACAUGGGUAAAGCUUUCACCACUAGAUUAAAAAACACUCGAAAUCCACCACCAACGGCUCUUCCAAAAAACAAAAGAUAAAAGAAAAUGAUCACCAAAUCACAAAAGGAUCACAAAGAUACUCCAAAUUCUCAAUACUCAAUUGUCUAAUUUGAUUAUAUGAGUAAGAACCUCAUUUUAUAGAGGAUACAAGUGAAAUUCGGCCUUAGAGACUACUUAGCAAAUAAGGAAAACAAUUAUUAAAUGCAUAAAAACUAAAAAAAAAUAUAACAAAAAAUACAGUAUUGAUCAGGACGAAAAUGACAAGAUGUACUUCUUUUUUAGCUCUAAAACUCUCCUAAAGCUUUACUCCAUGAUAUCCAACCCAUAUAAUUGUUAUCCACAUUUUUGACUGCCAGAUUGGGCUAAGAACAACAAUUUUAUAGCUCGCCCGAUAUUUUGUCUUGCUGCUUGUAUUGCUUCUCUUUGUGUCUUUGCUCCCGCACCACGACAAGCGAAGAUGGGGAAGAUUGACUUUUCUGGAUAUGAAAAGUUUCUUCCCUAAUUUUGAAUUGGUUUUUCCAUAAAAGCGUCUUGGUUCGUAUUAAGGGUGCAUGAGAGAUCUGGUUGGUCAUCCUUAGAGUGUUUCAUCUGUAAUAUAGUUGUGGAUAAGGGUCUUGCGUUAUUUGGUCGAGAAUUAGACAGUUUAAGGGUUGUGCGACUAAGUGUUCGAUAUAGGUUGAUAUAGGUUGAUAUAGGUCGGCUCUCCUUAGUUUUUUUUUGUGAUUUAAUGGGUCUUCAGUUGGGAAAGAUGAUCUCUUGGGCUGGUCCAUGCAUUGGUGAAGUUAAAAACAUCAUUUUUGGGCCAAAACUCCAUAAGCUAGGC